rnacentral:rRNA from 1 species
UAACACAUGCAAGUCGAACGGAAACGAAACUAGCUUGCUAGUAGGCGUCGAGUGGCGGACGGGUGAGUAACGCGUAGGAAUCUGCCUGAUAGUGGGGGAUAGCCCGAAGAAAUUCGGAUUAAUACCGCAUAAUCUAUUCGUAGUAAAGUGGGGGAGUGUGGAGCCUCACGCUAUCAGAUGAGCCUGCGUAAGAUUAGCUUGUUGGUAGGGUAAAAGCCUACCAAGGCAACGAUCUUUAGCUGGUCUGAGAGGAUGAUCAGCCACAUCGGGACUGAGACACGGCCCGAACUCCUACGGGAGGCAGCAGUGGGGAAUAUUGGACAAUGGGGGCAACCCUGAUCCAGCAAUACCGCGUGUGUGAAGAAGGCCUGAGGGUUGUAAAGCACUUUCAAUUGUGAAGAAAAGUUAACGGCUAAUAACCGUUGACCUUGACGUUAACUUUAGAAGAAGCACCGGCUAACUCCGUGCCAGCAGCCGCGGUAAUACGGAGGGUGCAAGCGUUAAUCGGAAUUACUGGGCGUAAAGCGUGCGUAGGCGGUUUAUAAAGUCAGAUGUGAAAGCCCCGGGCUUAACCUGGGAACUGCAUUUGAAACUGGUCAACUAGAGUAUGGUAGAGGAAAGUGGAAUUUCUGGUGUAGCGGUGAAAUGCGUAGAUAUCAGAAGGAACAUCAAUGGCGAAGGCAGCUUUCUGGACCAAUACUGACGCUGAGGUACGAAAGCGUGGGUAGCAAACAGGAUUAGAUACCCUGGUAGUCCACGCCGUAAACGAUGAUAACUAGCCGUUGGGGGGAUUUACCCCUUAGUGGCGAAGCUAACGCGUUAAGUUAUCCGCCUGGGGAGUACGGCCGCAAGGCUAAAACUCAAAGGAAUUGACGGGGACCCGCACAAGCGGUGGAGCAUGUGGUUUAAUUCGAUGCAACGCGAAGAACCUUACCUGGUCUUGACAUCCUGCGAACUUUCUAGAAAUAGAUUGGUGCCUUCGGGAACGCAGUGACAGGUGCUGCAUGGCUGUCGUCAGCUCGUGUCGUGAGAUGUUGGGUUAAGUCCCGUAACGAGCGCAACCCCUAUCCUUAUUUGCCAGCACAUUAUGGUGGGAACUAUAAGGAGACUGCCGGUGAUAAACCGGAGGAAGGCGGGGACGACGUCAAGUCAUCAUGGCCCUUACGACCAGGGCUACACACGUGCUACAAUGGGAAGGACAAAGAGCCGCGAAGCCGCGAGGUGUAGCUAAUCUCAUAAAUCUUUUCGUAGUUCGGAUUGGAGUCUGCAACUCGACUCCAUGAAGUCGGAAUCGCUAGUAAUCGUAGAUCAGAAUGCUACGGUGAAUACGUUCCCGGGUCUUGUACACACCGCCCGUCAUACCAUGGGAGUGGGUUGCACCAGAAGUGGCUAGUCUAACUUUGUGAGGACAGUCACCACGGUGUGAUUCAUGACUGGGGUA